GCCCGGGUAGCUCAGCCGGUAUAGAGCGUUAGGCUUUUAAACUAACGGUCCAGGGUUCGAGCCCCUGCUCGGACG
rnacentral:tRNA from 1 species